rnacentral:pre_miRNA from 1 species
GGUGGGAGCGCAGGAUCCUGGACUGUGUCCCCUAGCGCCCUGGGCUCCAGGGCCUGCACCACUGGAAUCACGCUCCCUGGGUGCACAGCCCCCU